UACGAAGGGGGCUAGCGUUGCUCGGAAUCACUGGGCGUAAAGGGUGCGUAGGCGGGUUGACAAGUCACUUGUGAAAUCUCCGGGCUUAACUCGGAACGGCCAAGUGAAACUGUCAUGCUAGAGUGCAGAAGGGGCAAUCGGAAUUCUUGGUGUAGCGGUGAAAUGCGUAGAUAUCAAGAGGAACACCUGAGGUGAAGACGGGUUGCUGGGCUGACACUGACGCUGAGGCGCGAAAGCCAGGGGAGCGAACGGG
rnacentral:rRNA from 1 species